CCAGAUCUGGCCGAUCGGGUUGGCAAUGCCCUGGCCCGCGAUGUCAGGCGCCGAGCCGUGCACCGGCUCGAACAGGCUCGGAUACGUGCGAUCCGGG
rnacentral:tRNA from 1 species